UACGUAGGUGGCAAGCGUUGUUCGGAAUUAUUGGGCGUAAAGGGUGCGUAGGCGGUUUGGUAAGUCUUGUGUGAAAUCUACAGGCUCAACUUGUAGUCUGCACGAGAAACUGCCGGGCUUGAGUGUGGGAGAGGUGAGUGGAAUUCCUGGUGUAGCGGUGAAAUGCGUAGAUAUCAGGAGGAACACCUGUGGCGAAAGCGGCUCACUGGACCAUAACUGACGCUGAUGCACGAAAGCUAGGGGAGCAAACAGG
rnacentral:rRNA from 1 species